ACUCCUACGGGAGGCAGCAGUGGGGAAUAUUGCACAAUGGGCGCAAGCCUGAUGCAGCCAUGCCGCGUGUGUGAAGAAGGCCUUCGGGUUGUAAAGCACUUUCAGUCGUGAGGAAGGUAGUGUAGUUUAAAUAGCGGCAUCAUUUGACGUUAGCAACAGAAAGAAGCACCCGGCUAACUCCGUGCCAGCAGCCGCGGUAAUACGGAGGGUGCGAGCGUUAAUCGGAAUUACUGGGCGUAAAGCGCAUGCAGGUGGUUUUGUUAAGUCAGAUGUGAAAGCCCGGGGCUCAACCUCGGAACGCAUUUUGAAAACUGGCAGACUAGAGUACUUAG
rnacentral:rRNA from 1 species